rnacentral:lncRNA from 1 species
GUGACCUCAUGCUGAUGACACUUCCCUGAAAAAGGACUGGCCUGCAAAUGGACACCUGCAAGUAAAGGUAAAGGUAAAGGGACCCCUGACCAUUAGGUCCAGUUGUGACCGACUCUGGGGUUGCGGCGCUCAUCUUGAUUCACUGGCCGAGGGAGCCGGUGUACAGCUUCCGGGUCAUGUGGCCAGCAUGACUAAGCCACUUCUGGCGAACCAGAGCAGCACACGGAAACGCCCUUUACUUUCCCCCUGGAGUGGUACCUAUUUAUCUACUUGCACUUUGACAUGCUUUUGAACUGCUAGGUUGGCAGGAGCUCACCCCGUCGCGGGGAAUCGAACCACCGACCUUCUGAUCGGCAAGUCCUAGGCUCUGUGGUUUAACCCAUAGCGCCACCCGUGUCCUGCAAGUAGGAGGUACCAUAGAAAGCUGCCAGGCACUGAGCCAGACCCAUUGGUCUAUCUAGCUCAGUCCUUUCUAUGCCGACUGUCAGGGGCUCUCCAGGAUUCCACACAAUAUUCUCUCCCAGUCCCAGCUGGAGAUUGUGGGGACUGAACCUGCGAGCUUCUGAAUGCAGGGCAGAUUCUCGGCCGCUGAGCUAUGUGUCAUUGAAAUUCUACUCAGUAUGAUCCAGAGCAGAACUCUGGCAUAUACUGUAUUUUUCGCUCCAUAAGUCACACCUGACUGUAAGACGCACCCAGUUUUUAGAGGAGGUAAGCAAGAAAAAAAUAUUCUGAAUGAAACAGUGGAUGUAUGAUUUUUGUGCUUAUAGUAAGACUAAACCUUAACACUAAGCAUACUGUGUACAGACCACACCAGAAGGAAAAGAGAUAGAAAGAGAACGUGAAACCCAGGCACCUUCUGGUCUUAUUAUCAUAUUAUUAUUAUUAUUAUUAUUAUUAUUAUUAUUAUUAUUAUUAUUAGCAUGACCUUGACAGAAGAGAUAACAGAACCACUUUAAACCAGCUGUAGUCAGCUUCUCAGAAGGAAUAACCCAAACAUCACAAACCUUCUGCUUGUUUCUUUCACACAGAGAAGCUUCCAGAACCCUUUUGAAUUAAUGAGAAUAGGAAAGAUCUCUACACAUCAGAUCAAUACUUUCUGCACUAAGAAAUGCAAACUGACACUAUGACCUUUCCCAAAUGCUGCCCAAUUUAAGGAGGAGGAAACUGGGCACUGCCCCUCCCGCCAUUCCAGUGCGUCUGAAGGAGACACACACUGACUGAUGUGUAGGUGAUCACUUUCCCGAGAAAAUAUGCUCUCUACUUUCCCAGGCAGUCCAAUCUGGGGGCCCUGUCAACUAAGAUUGCUCUCACUGGAACUGAGUGAAGAUGGCGGCUGCCAGCAGCAAAAAGACCUUUGGAUUGAUUCGGCAGGAACACCAGCGUGUGAGGAGAUGCUGUGAACUUAUAGAGGGGAAUCAUAGACAUAAAAUCCACACAGAAACACACCAUUGCUUGUUUUAACUCGCUUGUGGGAACAACUCAGAGGCUGUGAAAGAAGGAAGGUUAACAACAGAAAGAAUUAGAGGAACCAUCAGAAGUGACUAUGAAAAGCACUAGAAGUAUGAGAUGAUCAGAACCCUCCGAACUUGAAGCAUGGGAAGUCCUAUUAAAACUUUAUAAUUUGGCAGAAUAUUCG